UCCUCGAAAGGGCUAACCCGCCGCGAGGCGGGGGCGCAAAGCCACGGGCCUGCGGGGUACCCCACCAAACCACCCGCAGGUCGCCUGGUUGCCGAA
rnacentral:ncRNA from 1 species